CAACGCAGCGCAGUGAGGAUCCAGACGUUUCAUAGAGGAGACUGUCUGUCUGUCUGUUAACAGACUCCUUGUUUGCGUUGCUGUGGGUGGGUCUGUCUCUCUCUUGCAGGUGUGUACCUGUACCCGCUGAGUGUGACGUGGGGUGGAGCUCACAGCUGGGGCCGAUUAGUGGCGAUUAGUGGGUCACAUAAGCAGAGCCAGUGGCGUGCUCUCAAACGUGACGUCUUACUUCUCACUCAUCCACUCACCCUCCCUUGGGUCGCAUUAGUCUAUGUGACUUACUGUGUGAUCUACUUCGUGACUUGUAGGACGUGACCGGUGGGGUGCCGCUAGCAACCUCUCCUCGCGCCGUGAGGUCGGUGACUCCGUGGAGGCGGCAUUCCCGAUCAGUGGAAGCCUGUGGACCUCCCAGAGUUUCCCCAAUGCCUGGAGGAUGUGAGCCUGUGCUGGGUUUAAGGACUGAUGAUAGUAGCAAGGCUGGCCCCAGUCACCUACUGUCACCAUUCAUCCAUCCAUCCAUCCAUCGCCAACCGCUUAUCCUGCGUACAGGGUCGCGGGGACCUACUAUCACUUUCUCUUCAAAUAAAUGCUGGACUGGCAGGACAAAGCAGAACACCACUCCUUCCUCCAGCACCAUAAAAAGG